rnacentral:rRNA from 1 species
GACGAACGCUGGCGGCGCGCUUAACACAUGCAAGUCGAACGGAGAGGCCUGCUUUCCCUUGUGGAUUGCGGGUACUCGAGUGGCGAACGGGUGAGUAACACGUGAGUGAUCUGCCCCCAACUUGGGUAUAAGCCUGGGAAACUGGGUCUAAUUCCCGAUAGGACUGCAGGGUGGUGCCUGUGGUGGAAAACGAUUUUCUAGUGGUUGGGGAUGAGCUCGCGGCCUAUCAGCUUGUUGGUGGGGUAAUGGCCUACCAAGGCGGCGACGGGUAGCCGGCCUGAGAGGGUGGACGGCCACAUUGGGACUGAGAUACGGCCCAGACUCCUACGGGAGGCAGCAGUGGGGAAUAUUACACAAUGGGCGGAAGCCUGAUGCAGCGACGCCGCGUGGGGGAUGACGGCCUUCGGGUUGUAAACUCCUUUCGACCGCGAGGAAGCCACCUGGUUGGAAGGGUGGUGACGGUAGUGGUAGAAGAAGCACCGGCUAACUACGUG